rnacentral:rRNA from 1 species
CAACAGUUGGAAACGACUGCUAAUACCGCAUAAGCCCACGGGUCGGCAUCGACCAGAGGGAAAAGGAGCAAUCCGCUUUGAGAUGGCCUCGCGUCCGAUUAGCUAGUUGGUGAGGUAAUGGCCCACCAAGGCAACGAUCGGUAGCCGGACUGAGUGGUUGAACGGCCACAUUGGGACUGAGACACGGCCCAGACUCCUACGGGAGGCAGCAGUGGGGAAUAUUGCACAAUGGGGGAAACCCUGAUGCAGCGACGCCGCGUGGAGGAAGAAGGUCUUCGGAUUGUAAACUCCUGUUGUUGAGGAAGAUAAUGACGGUACUCAACAAGGAAGUGACGGCUAACUACGUGCCAGCAGCCGCGGUAAAACGUAGGUCACAAGCGUUGUCCGGAAUUACUGGGUGUAAAGGGAGCGCAGGCGGGAAGACAAGUUGGAAGUGAAAUCCAUGGGCUCAACCCAUGAACUGCUUUCAAAACUGUUUUUCUUGAGUAGUGCAGAGGUAGGCGGAAUUCCCGGUGUAGCGGUGGAAUGCGUAGAUAUCGGGAGGAACACCAGUGGCGAAGGCGGCCUACUGGGCACCAACUGACGCUGAGGCUCGAAAGUGUGGGUAGCAAACAGGAUUAGAUACCCUGGUAGUCCACACCGU